rnacentral:rRNA from 1 species
AGUGGCGGACGGGUGAGUAACACGUAAGAAUUUGCCUUUAGGAGGGGGACAACAACUAGAAAUGGUUGCUAAUACCCCAUAUGCUUUCGAGUGAAAUGGAUUUUUCCGCCUAGAGAGAAGCUUGCGGCUGAUUAGCUUGUUGGUGAGGUAAUGGCUCACCAAGGCGACGAUCAGUAUCUGGUUUGAGAGGACGAUCAGACACACUGGAACUGAGACACGGUCCAGACUCCUACGGGAGGCAGCAGUGGGGAAUUUUCCGCAAUGGGCGAAAGCCUGACGGAGCAAUACCGCGUGAGGGAUGACGGCCUAUGGGUUGUAAACCUCUUUUUUCAGGGAGGAAUCAAUGACGUGUACCUGAAGAAUAAGCAUCGGCUAACUCCGUGCCAGCAGCCGCGGUAAGACGGGGGAUGCAAGUGUUAUCCGGAAUCACUGGGCGUAAAGCGUCUGUAGGUGGUCCAAUAAGUCAACUGUUAAAUCUUGAGGCUCAACCUCAAAAUCGCAGUCGAAACUAUUAGACUAGAGUAUAGUAGGGGUAAAGGGAAUUUCCAGUGGAGCGGUGAAAUGCGUAGAGAUUGGAAAGAACACCGAUGGCGAAGGCACUUUACUGGGCUAUUACUAACACUCAGUGACGAAAGCUAGGGUAGCAAAUGGGAUUAGAUACCCCAGUAGUCCUAGCCGUAAACAAUGGAUACUAGAUGUU